CCUGUCCUGGACAUCAGCAGGGGAGGGCCCUGGGAGAGGGAGCUAGCAGUGCUUUUGGAGCCCGUUGGUCUUUCCACUGAGGGCUUCAUGACACAGCUGGCUCAUGGAUGUCAAAGGGAAAGUAGAAGAUGUUCAUGCUUAGAAUGAGCGCAAGCUGUUCCGCUGUGGAGCCCAGGUCCCCAGCAUUUAUUUUCUUGAUGGUGUUUUAAGUGCUUUGCAAAUAUUAAUUGAUUGGACCCUCGAAACAGCCUCAUGGGUUGGCACUGUUACUAUAAGUAGUUGUGACACAUGAGAAAACUGUGACACAGAGAAUUUGAGGCAUUUGUCAAAGGCUUAUAAAUGGCGGAGGUGGGUUGAAAUGCAUGUAGUCCAGCAUCUUUCUGGAUUUUGCUGCUUUAAAGAACUGUUUGUGAACCGUGGAGGGUUUCACCCACUCUAACCCCUGGCUUCCACAUUGCUGGAUUAGGAGGCACAUCGGUCACUGGUUCCGGAAGUCACCCUUGUCUGGUGGGGAUGAUCUGCACCUGAAGUAGGGAUUGGGGGAUCAUGCAGGAGGGUCCAGGGGACCUAGGGGGGCUGGGCUUGGCCUUGCGGCCAUUUCCCUCUGUCCCAGUCUAGAAACCAGCCCAGCAAGGUGGGAGCCGCCUUCUCCCCCGCCUUGCUAUACAGCUAUUAAGUAAGGAUUUGUCAAUCAAUAAAUCAAGGCACCUGAAAAAUGAACCAGGGAACCACACUGGCUUUUCCCCCCUUUUCUUGAUUAAAACAAACAACAUUGUGAAAUGUCAACCUGUCAGUCGUUUGGAAAGUUUGCCGCAUGGAAAGGCGAUUACCCAAAUGACUUUUUAAAAGUAUGAGAAUUUGCCUGGCUGAACGUUUUUUAAUUAAUGCUGUGAGUUAACGUUAAUAACUACUCAUAGCACAGGGAGCCGGCCUGGGGUGGGUUUAGGAAACAUUUGGUA
rnacentral:lncRNA from 1 species